UACAGAGGGUGCAAGCGUUAAUCGGAAUUACUGGGCGUAAAGCGUGACGUAGACGGUUAUUUAAGUCAGGUGUGAAAGCCCCGGGCUCAACUGCGGGUCUGCAGUCGAUACGGGCAGGCGUAGAGUUCGGUAGGGGAGACGUGGAAUUCCUGGUGUAGCGGUGAAAUGACGCAGAUAUCAGGAGGAACACCAGUAGCGAAGGCGGCU
rnacentral:rRNA from 1 species